rnacentral:sRNA from 1 species
GGCUGGCUUAAUAGUAGUGGGCUAUCAAAACUUAUUAACAUUACUGGCACUGAAGUUGGUAUACAACCCUCACUGUUAAAUUUGGCUUUAA